AUUGAACGCUGGCGGCAGGCCUAACACAUGCAAGUCGAGCGGAGCGGCGGACGGGUGAGUAAUGCCUAUGUAUCUGCCUGGUCGUGGGGGAUAACGUCCGGUAACGGGCGCUAAUACUGCAUACUAUCAGCAGAGCCUAGGUCGGAUUAGCUAGUGGGUGGGGUAAAGGCCUCCCAACGCGACGAUCCGUAACUGGUCUUAGAGGAUGAUCAGUCACACUGGAACUGAGACACGGUCCAGACUCCUACGGGAGGCAGCAGUGGGGAAUAUUGGACAAUGGGCGAAAGCCUGAUCCAGCCAUGCCGCGUGUGUGAAGAAGGUCUUCGGAUUGUAAAGCACUUUAAGUUGGGAGGCGUUACCAACAGAAUAAGCACCGGCUAACUUCGUGCCAGCCGCCGCGGUAAUUC
rnacentral:rRNA from 1 species